rnacentral:rRNA from 1 species
UACGUAGGGGGCAAGCGUUGUCCGGAAUCAUUGGGCGUAAAGAGCGUGUAGGCGGCCCGAUAAGUCCGCCGUGAAAGUCCAGGGCUCAACCCUGGAAUGCCGGUGGAAACUGUCGGGCUGGAGUCCGGAAGAGGCGAGUGGAAUUCCUGGUGUAGCGGUGAAAUGCGCAGAUAUCAGGAGGAACACCAAUGGCGAAGGCAGCUCGCUGGGACGGUACUGACGCUGAGGCACGAAGGCCAGGGGAGCAAACGGG